rnacentral:misc_RNA from 1 species
UCAAGGGAAAGGAUCAUCUUGUCAAUGCCAUCCAAAGUUGAGGCAGAUGACAUAAAACCAUCAAAAUCUGGCCGACUAAUCACACUAGAAUCCUGGUAAAAUUUGUGAACCACCUCUGGGGAUUUGGACAGUAGAUUGUAGUACUGCUCAACAAAGGCAUUCCCCACAACUUGAGGAGUGGGGGUAGAUUCUUCUCCCUGGGUUGCCAUCCCUCGCAGAAGGUCAAUCAGAUUCUCUCUCUGGCCCGAGAGAGAAAGAGAGGGGAAAGCUACAGAUCAAAGAAGUAUGACUUUAUAGAGGUUUC